rnacentral:rRNA from 1 species
GUGGGGAAUAUUGGACAAUGGGCGAAAGCCUGAUCCAGCCAUGCCGCGUGUGUGAAGAAGGUCUUCGGAUUGUAAAGCACUUUAAGUUGGGAGGAAGGGCAGUAAGUUAAUACCUUGCUGUUUUGACGUUACCAACAGAAUAAGCACCGGCUAACUUCGUGCCAGCAGCCGCGGUAAUACGAAGGGUGCAAGCGUUAAUCGGAAUUACUGGGCGUAAAGCGCGCGUAGGUGGGUCAGCAAGUUGGAGGUGAAAGCCCCGGGCUCAACCUGGGAACUGCCUCCAAAACUACUGAGCUAGAGUACGGUAGAGGGUAGUGGGAUUUCCUGUGUAGCGGUGAAAUGCGUAGAUAUAGGAAGGAACACCAGUGGCGAAGGCGACUACCUGGACUGAUACUGACACUGAGGUGCGAAAGCGUGGGGAGCAAACAGGAUUAGAUACCCUAGUAGUCC